UUUUGUUGGUAUCCCCGAGUAUCCUACGAUCAAGGUUUAUUAUACAAUUUAGGUGUUGGUACUACGAACUGACAUACGACAGCUGAAAUGUAGUAGUCCUAA